rnacentral:rRNA from 1 species
GCUCCCUUCGGGGAGUGCAUAAAGUGGCGCACGGGUGAGUAACACGUAAGUAAUCUACCCUCGGGUGGGGAAUAACAUCGGGAAACCGAUGCUAAUACCGCAUAAUGCAGCGGCACCGCAAGGUGACAGUUGUUAAAGAUUUAUUGCCUGGGGAGGAGCUUGCGGCAGAUUAGCUUGUUGGUAAGGUAACGGCUUACCAAGGCUACGAUCUGUAUCCGGUCUAAGAGGACGGUCGGACACACUGACACUGAAUAACGGGUCAGACUCCUACGGGAGGCAGCAGUCGGGAAUUUUGGGCAAUGGGGGAAACCCUGACCCAGCAACGCCGCGUGAAGGAUGAAGUAUUUCGGUAUGUAAACUUCGAAAGAAUAGGAAGAAUUAAUGACGGUACUAUUUAUAAGGUCCGGCUAACUACGUGCCAGCAGCCGCGGUAAUACGUAGGGACCAAGCGUUGUUCGGAUUUACUGGGCGUAAAGGGCGCGUAGGCGGCGCGGUAAGUCACUUGUGAAAUCUCUGAGCUUAACUCAGAACGGCCAAGUGAUAUUGCAGUGCUAGAGUGUGGAAGGGGCAAUCGGAAUUCUUGGUGUAGCGGUGAAAUGCGUAGAUAUCAAGAGGAACACCUGAGGUGAAGACGGGUUGCUGGGCCAACACUGACGCUGAGGCGCGAAAGCCAGGGGAGCAAACGGGAUUAGAUACCCCGGUAGUCCUGGCCCUAAACGAUGAAUACUUGGUGUCUGGAGUUUUAAUGCUCCGGGUGCCGUCGCUAACGUUUUUAGUAUUCCGCCUGGGGAGUACGCUCG